rnacentral:rRNA from 1 species
ACCAGACUCCUACGGGAGGCAGCAGUGGGGGAUAUUGCACAAUGGGGGAAACCCUGAUGCAGCGACGCCGCGUGAGUGAAGAAGUAUUUCGGUAUGUAAAGCUCUAUCAGCAGGGAAGAAAAAAGACGGUACCUGACUAAGAAGCCCCGGCUAACUACGUGCCAGCAGCCGCGGUAAUACGUAGGGGGCAAGCGUUAUCCGGAUUUACUGGGUGUAAAGGGAGCGUAGACGGCAAUACAAGUCGGAAGUGAAAUACCCGGGCUCAGCCUGGGAACUGCUUUGGAAACUGUAUGGCUGGAGUGCUGGAGAGGUAAGCGGAAUUCCUAGUGUAGCGGUGAAAUGCGUAGAUAUUAGGAGGAACACCAGUGGCGAAGGCGGCUUACUGGACAGUAACUGACGUUGAGGCUCGAAAGCGUGGGGAGCAGACAGGAUUAGAUACCCCCGUA